rnacentral:rRNA from 1 species
GACCUCGCGCGAUUAGAGCGGCCGAUGCCUGAUUAGCUUGUUGGUAGGGGUAAAAGCCCGCCAAGGCGACGAUCAGUAGCUGGUCUGAGAGGACGAUCAGCCACACUGGGACUGAGACACGGCCCAGACUCCUACGGGAGGCAGCAGGUGGGGUAAUUUUGGACAAUGGGGGCAACCCUGAUCCAGCAAUGCCGCGUGAGUGAAGAAGGCCUUCGGGUUGUAAAGCUCUUUUGUCAGGGAAGAAACACCGGCUCUAACACAGUCCGGGAAUGACGGUACCUGAAGAAUAAGCACCGGCUAACUACGUG